UACGUAGGGCGCGAGCGUUGUCCGGAAUUAUUGGGCGUAAAGAGCUCGUAGGUGGCUUGUUGCGUCUGCCGUGAAAGCCCGUGGCUUAACUACGGGUCUGCGGUGGAUACGGGCAGGCUAGAGGCUGGUAGGGGCAAGCGGGAAUUCCUGGUGUAGCGGUGAAAUGCGCAGAUAUCAGGAGGAACACCGGUGGCGAAGGCGGCAUCCUGGACCAUUACUGACACUGAUCCGCGAAAAGCUAGGGGGAGCAAACAGG
rnacentral:rRNA from 1 species